rnacentral:rRNA from 1 species
UACGGGGGGGGCAAGCGUUGUUCGGAAUUACUGGGCGUAAAGGGCUCGUAGGUGGCCAACUAAGUCAGACGUGAAAUCCCUCGGCUUAACCGGGGAACUGCGUCUGAUACUGGAUGGCUUGAGUUUGGGAGAGGGACGCGGAAUUCCAGGUGUAGCGGUGAAAUGCGUAGAUAUUGGGAGGAACACCAGUGGCGAAGGCGGCUCACUGGACCGGAACUGACGCUGAGGCGCGAAAGCGUGGGGAGCAAACAGG